rnacentral:rRNA from 1 species
ACGCUAGCUACAGGCUUAACACAUGCAAGUCGAGGGGCAGCAUGGAAGAAGCUUGCUUCUUCUGAUGGCGACCGGCGCACGGGUGCGUAACGCGUAUCAAACCUGCCUCAUACUCGGGGAUAGCCUUGCGAAAGUAAGAUUAAUACCCGAUGUUGUUAUGUUACCGCAUGGUGAUAUAACCAAAGAUUUAUCGGUAUGAGAUGGUGAUGCGUCCGAUUAGGUAGUAGGCGGGGUAACGGCCCACCUAGCCUUCGAUCGGUAGGGGUUCUGAGAGGAAGGUCCCCCACACUGGAACUGAGACACGGUCCAGACUCCUACGGGAGGCAGCAGUGAGGAAUAUUGGUCAAUGGACGAAAGUCUGAACCAGCCAAGUAGCGUGCAGGAUGACGGCCCUCCGGGUUGUAAACUGCUUUUAGUUGGGAAUAAAAAGAGGGACGUGUCCCUCAUUGUAUGUACCUUCAGAAAAAGGACCGGCUAAUUCCGUGCCAGCAGCCGCGGUAAUACGGAAGGUCCAGGCGUUAUCCGGAUUUAUUGGGUUUAAAGGGAGCGUAGGCGGAUUAUUAAGUCAGUGGUGAAAGACGGUGGCUCAACCAUCGUUAGCCAUUGAAACUGGUAGUCUUGAGUGCAGACAGGGAUGCUGGAACUCGUGGUGUAGCGGUGAAAUGCUUAGAUAUCACGAUGAACUCCGAUCGCGAAGGCAGGUGUCCGGGCUGCAACUGACGCUGAGGCUCGAAAGUGUGGGUAUCAAACAGGAUUAGAUACCCUGGUAGUCCACACAGUAAACGAUGUAUACUCGCGGUUUGCGAUACAGUGUAAGCCGCCAAGCGAAAGCAUUAAGUAUACCACCUGGGGAGUACGCCGGCAACGGUGAAACUCAAAGGAAUUGACGGGGGCCCGCACAAGCGGAGGAACAUGUGGUUU